UGAAUACCUGGCCAAACCAUGGCAGAUAUGCACCCUUGUGGCUAAGGACAUUAGCACCAGAGUUUUAACCCAGAACCCAGGGUAUCAGAAAUGCCGUUAAACUCUCUAGGGACUGCUGCUGUUAAUUUUGAGUGGGGAAAAUGGAGUCGUAGGGGACUAGGAAAUUCAAAAAAUUGCUUGAUAAGAUAAAUUGGCCCUUUAAAACCUCCAACCCACAGCAUUUCCUGAUUGUUUAGCUUGCUGUGGCAUACACUUGUUAUUUAUUUUUUAUUUUUUAAUCCUUGUAAGAGUUGAAUAAAGCACGUCUCUUCUGAGCGUGUGCGGAUGGCAGGCAGACACCGCGGUGGUGUUUGUGGCAGAUGAGAGAGCCCAUCGGUGACUUAAAGACUUUGUUGGAGCCAGCCUUAACAGAGCCUCCGUGCCGCGCUCUUGUUGUCUUAAUUGAUUUACGCAGCAUUGACAUGAGCCGUGUGCUGAUAGCGUGCCCAUUAGCAUAUCCAUAUGAAAAGCACGCAGUGGUUGGACAUUUACAACAUCCUGUUGUUCGGCCAGGAUUGUGCAUCUGCCAGCACAGCCUUCCACCGGGUCUUGAAAAGAGCAGCGGAAAUCUCGAGCCCAGGGAGGCUGUGGAGCAGCUGGACAGCCGUGUUAAAACGAGGUACCUGGAGAGGCGAACAAGGCGAAGAUUGUGAGGAGAACAAGCGGAACGGGGACUGUAAAGCAAUUCAGCGUGCGGGGGUUCGGGUGGGACAGUUGUGGGCUUACAAAGAGCCAUCUGAAGGAUGUGUGGGACCAGGAGUAAGAAAUCUUUGUUGCAACAGAAGCUAACCCGAGCAUGGCUCAGCGUGCUGCAGACGUGCAAAGUUUCCAUGUUUGCUACACACCAGCAGCAAAGGAGUCCUAGAAAGAGGCGUUCAGAUAAACUGUACAAACUCGGGGGUAAAUAUCCAUUCACUUGUCUUUACGCUUAAUUCUGUUAGAUUUAUCCACGGAUCCCAAAGGAGGCUGAGUGUUAUCUCCUGCCCUUCCUAGAUGAAGCCGCAGACACACCAAAGGAUGAAGAAGUUCUGUGUAGCCAUGCAGCUGUUCACUGGCAGAGCCAGAAGCAGAGCCAGGAACGGAUCCUCAGUGGCUGUAAAGUUGUUUGUAGCUGCACAGCAGUCUGUGGCCCCGGGUUUCUUAGAGCACUGGACUUGCCUAGGGAUUUUCUUCCCUAAACAGCAGUGUUCAUUAUUAUUUUAAAAAUAUCUGUCCC